rnacentral:rRNA from 1 species
UACGGAGGGUGCAAACGUUUGCUCGGAAUCAUUGGGCGUAAAGCGCGUGUAGGCGGCCCGGUAAGUCCGCUGUGAAAGUCGGGGGCUCAACCCUCGGAUGCCGGUGGAUACUGUCGGGCUCGAGUACGGAAGAGGCGAGUGGAAUUCCUGGUGUAGCGGUGAAAUGCGCAGAUAUCAGGAGGAACACCAAUUGCGAAGGCAGCUCGCUGGGACGUUACUGACGCUGAGACGCGAAAGCGUGGGGAGCAAACAGG